GGAUGUGAGGGUGAUCUGGCUGCAACAUCUGUCACCCCAUUGAUCACCAAGGGUUGAUUCAGCUGAUCUGGCUGGCUAGGCGGGUGUCCCCUUCCUCCCUCACUGCUCCAUGUGCGUCCCUCCUGAAGCUACUAUGCGCUCGGUUGAAGAGGAUGAUUAUCCCUGAUAGAGGAGGACUGUUCUUCUCGGUCAAGGGUAUACAAGUAGCCGCGCUCCCCUGCUAGAACCUCCAAACAAGCUCUCAAGAGAGGAAUCAAAUGAUCCCCUUAUAUGGGCUUACUCUGACACGGUUUUCAGCUUAAUGGAUAGUGCUAGCAUUUGU
rnacentral:snRNA from 1 species